UAGCUCAUCAUUCGGGUGAACCACGUACAUCUGUCUUCUGCAUGCAUGUCUAUUUGCCUACCGAAUGCUCUCACAUACUGAGAGUCCUCACCUUCAACGUCCACCUCAUCUUUAAGUUGGUCUAAUUACUACUUGUCUAGAUUUUAGCACUAACACAAUCGAUUUUUUAAUAGAGAUGAUCUUUGAAUGAAUAUCUACAAAAUACAUGGUUUGGAUUAGUAAAAUACAAUAGGGAGUGGGCUCUACAAGGGUGUCCCUCAAAUAAGUAUUUAAUUGAUACCUCAAUAGAAGCUUGUUGAUACUAAGAUCAGCGACCAAUAAAAGCUAAACACGUGGAUAAUGCAAGGCAUUGGCAUGGAAGCCCUCAGCACCCACACCUACCGUUCCCAGUAUAAAAGCACAAAUUGCCCACUGGACACGUGGCGCAUCCACUGUGAAUAUCCACAGUCCCACAUCGAAAUUCUACACAACUUGCACACCUCCCAAGGUUUAUAAAAGAAGCACAAUUCCCAAAAAUAGAGGUAAUCUGAACUCUCGGCAUACGGCCCAUAGAUUUGUUCAGUUCGCUUACUAAAUCCGUACUUACUUAAGCAUCGGAGAGCCUUCGGCAAGUACUACACUGGUGCCCUAGGUCUUAACGAGCGGAUACUCUUUUUACAGGAUCCACCUCCGCGAGGCCCAGAGCAAUCCGAAGGCCCAGACAUCACUAAGUUGAUCCCAAAAGUGCCGAAUCACUUUUUUGCAUCAACAGUUUGGCUCCGUCUAUGGGAAGUGACCUAAAUCGAC
rnacentral:lncRNA from 1 species